AUGAUGUCCUCGGCCACGUCUAGAGUAAUCCUUAACGGUAUCCCCGGUAAGGACUUUGCUCACGGCCAAGGACUUCGCCAAGGAGACCCGCUAUCCCCCCUGCUUUUCGAUAUCGCCAUCGACCCGUUGCAACAAAUUCUGGAUAAAGCAACUGCGUCUGGUUUGAUGAGCGAA
rnacentral:rRNA from 1 species